UUAUUUAUUUUUCUAUAAUUAUGUACAUUGUUGGAAUCUCCUAAAGCACCUCAGCGCCAUCUGUUGACAGCCACAGGUCAAACAGAGAAAGUGGCGUACAUAGGGACAAUACAGAGCCAAGUUCAUUCAUCAUGUUAAGUUAUUACAAAAGUUAUUUACAAAUGAUUCCCGUUUCAUCUGGAUCUUUGUAACUACUCGUAUUUGGAUAAUACGAAUGCUUGUUAUGUGAGUGACCCAGCAGCAGUGCUAUGAGAGCUAGCAGCAUGCCGCUCCUUUAAUGACCUAUGAGAGCUGUGAACCCAGGCCAUACACGGGGAACCUGAGAACCUGCUGAGCAACUUCUGUUGAUCUAAGCCAGCAGGUGAGCUGCAUCAAUUCACAGGAGUCCGUCAUAGACCUCCACAGCCUGAGAAACUUAACCUCCUGAUGAAAACGGCAAUGUCCUGACCUAAAACCAGAGAUGUGAACAACAGCAAAUAAAACACAGGAUAUACUCGCAGGCUUAUAAAAGUAUCGAAACUCUGGAUUGUUCAGAAGAAUUUGGAGAACAACUGACCCGGACCUGUGCCAUCUGCCUCUGUCACUGUCACCGCUGGGCACUGGGAGUCAGUGUGCAUGAGGCAGCCCUCUUCUGCUGCAAGAAAUCAACACACGC